UACGUAGGGGGCAAGCGUUAUCCGGAUUUACUGGGUGUAAAGGGAGCGUAGACGGCAAGGCAAGUCUGAUGUGAAAACCCAGGGCUUAACCCUGGGACUGCAUUGGAAACUGUCUGGCUCGAGUGCCGGAGAGGUAAGCGGAAUUCCUAGUGUAGCGGUGAAAUGCGUAGAUAUUAGAUACCCCGGUAGUCCGGCUGACU
rnacentral:rRNA from 1 species